AUUGAACGCUGGCGGAAUGCUUUACACAUGCAAGUCGAGCGGCAGCGCGGGGCAACCUGGCGGCGAGCGGCGAACGGGUGAGUAACACAUCGGAACGUGCCCAGACGUGGGGGAUAACUACUCGAAAGAGUAGCUAAUACCGCAUACGAUCUAAGGAUGAAAGCGGGGGAUCGCAAGACCUCGCGCGUUUGGAGCGGCCGAUGGCAGAUUAGGUAGUUGGUGGGGUAAAGGCUUACCAAGCCUGCGAUCUGUAGCUGGUCUGAGAGGACGACCAGCCACACUGGGACUGAGACACGGCCCAGACUCCUACGGGAGGCAGCAGUGGGGAAUUUUGGACAAUGGGCGAAAGCCUGAUCCAGCCAUUCCGCGCGCAGGAUGAAGGCCCUCGGGUUGUAAACUGCUUUUGUACAGAACGAAAAAGCUCUGGUUAAUACCUGGAGUCCAUGACGGUACUGUAAGAAUAAGCACCGGCUAACUACGUGCCAGCCGCCGCAGUAAUAC
rnacentral:rRNA from 1 species